UACGUAGGUGGCAAGCGUUGUCCGGAAUUAUUGGGCGUAAAGCGCGCGCAGGCGGUCCUUUAAGUCUGAUGUGAAAGCCCACGGCUCAACCGUGGAGGGUCAUUGGAAACUGGGGGACUUGAGUGCAGGAGAGAAGAGUGGAAUUCCACGUGUAGCGGUGAAAUGCGUAGAGAUGUGGAGGAACACCAGUGGCGAAGGCGGCCCGCUGGGCUGUUGCUGACGCUGAGGCGCGACAGCGUGGGGAGCAAACAGG
rnacentral:rRNA from 1 species